UCGGUUCUGUACUGUAAUUAAAUUUUUUAAGAUUUAUAACAAUAUUAUAUAAAUACAACUAAUGAUACAUUCAAUGGUUUUGGAAUGUCAAAGACUAGGAAACUAUUUUGUUCAAAUGAUAACUACAAUCAAAGUUUCGAUUGGCGAAUGUCACAGUUUCGAUCGGAGGUCACAGUGUCGACCGAUAAUUGUAUAGGUUUUGGAAUAUUAGCGAGGCUGCGAGAGUGAGUGCGAGAGUCGAGACAACGUUAUGGACUUUGGUAUUGGUGUUUAGGGUUAUUUAGUGGAUUUGAUCUUGCUUGGCUAAGAAAUGAAACAAUAAA
rnacentral:lncRNA from 1 species